rnacentral:lncRNA from 1 species
UAUAAUUGAUGCGCUUGUGCUGUGGUAACAUUUCAUAGUUAUUGGUGUAUGUAUGACUUAGUUAUUAAUUUAACUUGUUUAAUACUUGUUAUAUGAUUUUGUAUGAUGUUUAAAAAUAUAAAAUAUGGUUCCACUACCUUUGUAUGAUGUUGUUCUACCAUAAUAACAUGUAAUAUUUCUAUGGUUUUACAGAGAAUAAUGAUUUUUAGAAUUAUCUUGCUUUGGCGUGCUUUCUUGCAAGAGCAAUUUGUCUUUUUC